rnacentral:lncRNA from 1 species
AAAUAAUUUUUAUAGCGUAAAAGCUAAAUAAAUUCAUACAUACUAUAAUACAGAUAACCAAAGUAUAAAAUUUAAUUUACAGUGACACGUGGGCCCACGAACGACUAAAAGUAUCAAAAGUGGUAAACCUACAGUUUUUUGAGGAUGCAAGUCCAACUGUAACCCUCAACAAAGUGAGCUAUCUACCGACUAUCUUGAGCCUGAAAUGGGUGAAAAGGAGGGUGGUGAGAUUAUAUAAUCCUAGUGAGUAAACAUAUAUCAUCUAAAAUAUCUAAAGCUGAGUAAAUGGAGACAGAUAAAAUAGAUUAGCAUAAAAAUGAUUCAUAGCAUUUUGAACUCAUUUUAAUAUGAUAAAAUAGAUUAAUUUCACCCAAAUAAACAACGAGGCUUAUGAUUUCCUGAAAAGUUUAGCUCGUGCCAAAAUCAUUAUCAUACUCAAUUAUGAGGGAUACCUUGGCUGAGGGCUAUCCCAACCGAGUAUGCCAAGGCUGUUAAAAAGUCAUGUACGCAUAAAUCAUGUUUUUAUUUUGAAAACAUAGCCGUUCCUUAGUGUUGGUUGAGUUCACUCUCACGUGGUGGUUUAGCGUGAAGUGAACUCUAAAGUGUUAACCUCAAGAGUUAUCCAUCCGCGCCUCUCAUACUAAGGUAAGAAUGUAAUAGGGUUACCGUGCCCCUCUAAUAGGCUGGUCCACGAAACCCGUCCUGUAAAGUCCGACCUUAUAAAAUACUUGUCAUGACAUACAUGUGAUGGACAGCAUGUUUGCAUGCUGGGAGAGUACCGAAAAAUUUACAAAAGUCGGUAUUGUACUUAGAGGUACAACAAAGUUGAUUUCAGCCUUGAACUAGAUGAAUAGAGAUUUUAGGGUGAAAUUGAAAAUUUUACAGUUCAGGAAUGAUUUAAUAUGGUGAUUUGGAGUUCGAGGAUCAAUUUGGAGUCAAACCGAAACUUUCACUAUCUAGGGAUAAAAUGGUAAUUUUGCCACCUGAGGAUAAAAUUGGAAUAUUGGAAGACGUUUUUGAUCAAGAUUGAUCACAUUUGAAUCAUUGGAGUAUAAUUUGAGGUUGAUAAGUGAAAAAGUUGUAAUUUCGGUAUUUUUAGAGUAUAGGGGUAAAACAGUAAUUUUACCAUCCCAAGGGCAAAUCGGUAAAUUUUCACCCCCGACACUUGUCAAGACCAAGGGAUUUUAUUCAUCAUGGAAAUGGAUAAAUAUGAGAAAUGUGUGGUGGAGAAUUAAAGAAUUAAAAGUUAAAUAUUUAAAAUUUGAACCAAUAAGGAAAUGCCAUGUGUCAUGCUUUUAUUAUUUUAUUGUUUCCUUAUAAAAAGGCAUAAAAACCAGCCCAUUUCUCCCAUAGUGGUUGGCCAAACCAGAAGAGAAAGAAACCAAGGAAGAACAAACCCUAGAUGGGGAAAAUCAAAGAGAAAGUGUUGGAAUUCAAGGAUUUGAUCAAGUAAAGGUAAAAUUUCUUUGAUUUUGCUAGUGAUUUACCUUACCCAUGCAUUUCUCCUUAAUUUUUGUGGUUGAAAAGCAUGCUUUCAUGGUGAAUUCAUGGCUGGUAAAAAUGGGCAUGGAGAGAGAAUGAUCUUGGAUUGGUUUGAUUUUUAGGUAUGUUAGUAUUUUUAGGUGAUUAAUGAUGUGUAGCAUGAAAACAAGUGAAAAAAACCACCAAAGGUUUGGUGCCCAUCAAUAACCGAAUUCUCUAAGUGAAUAAUGAGGAAGAAUGGGAUGUUAUUCUAGGUGAUUUGAUUAAGAAAUAAUAGUCUUUGGUGAAUUAAGGGAUUGGAAAAGAAAUGGAGCAAGUUGGAGUGAAAUUGGACUCAUUGGCCAAUUUAUCAGAUGAAAAAUCGACUUAGGCCAAUACUGGGUCUAGAUGGCUAUCCGUGCAUUUUUCAUUUUAUAUCACGCAUAUAUAUCGAGCCUGAAAUAGCUUAUGACUGUUAGACACAAUUUAAUUGGAAUAUAUGUCAUGGAUUAUGGCUAGGUGGUGAGCUAUUGGAUACGGGCAAAAGACUGUACCCGCGAACUAAAAAUAGGAGUACUUCUACUCCUAAUACUGUGAGUAAACUUAUUAUCGUCUUAAUUUUCUAGAGUAGUUUUAUACAAUUGUGUGAUUUUAUAGAAAAUGGGUUUAAAUGGUAAAUUGCUAUGUUUUAGGAGAAAUUGUGAUUUUAUAAAAUGAUUUUAUAAAUUUUCUAAAAAAUUGAAUACUAGUUUUGAAAAUAGAGUAAUUAGAGAGUGCCUGCUUGUCUUAUAAAUUGUGUUUUAAAUUAUAUGGCUUAUAGCAAUAUGUGAGCAUGAAUGGAAAAGUUGGUAUUUGUAUCAAAAUUAUAUAUAUACUAUGUAUUCAUCCUUGAGAGGCUAGAUUACGAUAAAUUGCCAUAUCAUGCAUAUAAAGAUUUUAUAAAUCAGAUGGUAGAUAAAAUAAUCCAUAAUCCCUACAGUGGAGGUUCUGUGGACCAGCCUAAGAGAGGGGGCACAGAUUUAGAUAUACCUUACCUCGAUCGGAGAGCCGUGUGGAGGGUUUCUCUAUAGGUAAAGAUUUGAGUGCACUUCACGUGGACCACCGCGUGAGAGUGAGACUUAGCCAAAGCCAAGGCAUGGCUAGAAUUUCAAAUGUAAAGACAUUUAAUAGCCUUGGUGGUCUCGGUCAGAUGCCUAGGCCAAUGCAUCUUCGGGAAUGAUUUUGGCAGGAGCCAAGUUUUGUGAGAUAUAUAAGCCAUGUUGAUUAAUUGAGUAAACUGAAUAUUCAUGUUAUGAAACAUAUAUUGGAAAAGAAUAUUUUAAUUCGUCUCCACUUACUCGCCUUUAGAUAGUCUAGAUGGUGUUUGUUUACUCACUGAGAUUAUGUAAUCUCACCCCUCUUCCUAUCCAUUUUUCAGACUCUGGACAGUUUGUUGAUAGUUGAUUAAGACGAGAAUUAAUCUCGGAGUUGCAUCCUAGAAAAUAAGGGUUCGUAGUCCUACACCUUCUUGGUCAGUUGGGGGGCCCACACGUCACUGUAAAAGUAAUUUUAUACUUCAGUUAUCUGAUUUAAAGUAUGUAUGAACAUAUUUAGCUUUUACACCAUGUUUUUGGCGGGUUUUCGUAUUUUUGAAAAAAAUUGAUGAAAAUGCCCUUGUGAGCCAGAAAAUAAUAUUUUAUUGUUUUGAUUUGGAAACAACUUAUGAUUUCUUAAAAUGCAAGAUUUAAUAACUGUCGCUCAUCAGGGAGAUGCGAAAGCUGAUGCUAAGCCUUGCGGGGUUUCGAUCGGCAUUUCGGGUAAUGAGUGCCUAUCGGGACACCGUGACGGUUGUCAUGGGCUCGAUGGGAGUUUCGGGUCGUGACACGUCCACUGCAUCAACCAAUUUAUAACCUACCAAUUCAAUAAAAUUCAACAGCAUGACAUGGCAAUUAUUUUAUUUUACAGCCUCUCAAGGCAAAUCAAGAGUUCAUACAUUUUCAGCACAUUUACCAAAUCCAGCCACUCAUGCCCACAUUAUCAUAAGCCAUUCAAUUCAAACCAUAAUUUACAACACAGCAAUUAGUCUCCAAUUACUCCAUUUUCCAAAACCGUCAUUCAAUUUCAAGACAAUUUUAUAAAAUCAUUUCAUUUAAUCACAUUUUGNNNNNNNNNNNNNNNNNNNNNNNNNNNNNNNNNNNNNNNNNNNNNNNNNNNNNNNNNNNNNNNNNNNNNNNNNNNNNNNNNNNNNNNNNNNNNNNNNNNNNNNNNNNNNNNNNNNNNNNNNNNNNNNNNNNNNNNNNNNNNNNNNNNNNNNNNNNNNNNNNNNNNNNNNNNNNNNNNNNNNNNNNNNNNNNNNNNNNNNNNNNNNNNNNNNNNNNNNNNNNNNNNNNNNNNNNNNNNNNNNNNNNNNNNNNNNNNNNNNNNNNNNNNNNNNNNNNNNNNNNNNNNNNNNNNNNNNNNNNNNNNNNNNNNNNNNNNNNNNNNNNNNNNNNNNNNNNNNNNNNNNNNNNNNNNNNNNNNNNNNNNNNNNNNNNNNNNNNNNNNNNNNNNNNNNNNNNNNNNNNNNNNNNNNNNNNNNNNNNNNNNNNNNNNNNNNNNNNNNNNNNNNNNNNNNNNNNNNNNNNNNNNNNNNNNNNNNNNNNNNNNNNNNNNNNNNNNNNNNNNNNNNNNNNNNNNNNNNNNNNNNNNNNNNNNNNNNNNNNNNNNNNNNNNNNNNNNNNNNNNNNNNNNNNNNNNNNNNNNNNNNNNNNNNNNNNNNNNNNNNNNNNNNNNNNNNNNNNNNNNNNNNNNNNNNNNNNNNNNNNNNNNNNNNNNNNNNNNNNNNNNNNNNNNNNNNNNNNNNNNNNNNNNNNNNNNNNNNNNNNNNNNNNNNNNNNNNNNNNNNNNNNNNNNNNNNNNNNNNNNNNNNNNNNNNNNNNNNNNNNNNNNNNNNNNNNNNNNNNNNNNNNNNNNNNNNNNNNNNNNNNNNNNNNNNNNNNNNNNNNNNNNNNNNNNNNNNNNNNNNNNNNNNNNNNNNNNNNNNNNNNNNNNNNNNNNNNNNNNNNNNNNNNNNNNNNNNNNNNNNNNNNNNNNNNNNNNNNNNNNNNNNNNNNNNNNNNNNNNNNNNNNNNNNNNNNNNNNNNNNNNNNNNNNNNNNNNNNNNNNNNNNNNNNNNNNNNNNNNNNNNNNNNNNNNNNNNNNNNNNNNNNNUGUUGGGUGGUGUAAAAUUACAAUUUUGCCCCUAGGGUGGUAAAAUGACUAUUUUGCCCUUAUGCUCGAAAAAAUGCCGGAAUUAAAAUUUUUCACUUAUCAAACUCAAAUUAUACUCCAAAUGAUCAAUCUUUGUCAAAAAUUUCAUCUAACACUCACAUCUUAACCUCGGGUAGCAAAAUGACCAUUUUGCACCUAGGUCAUGAAAAUUCCAAUUUGACUCCAAAUCGGUCCUCGAACUCCGAAUCACCAUUUUAAGUCAUUUUGGGGUUUUAAAAUUCUCAAUUUCAUCUUAAAAUCUCUAUUUGGUCUAGUUCGAGGCUUAAUUCAACUUAAUUGUACCAUUUGGUACAUUCAUAGAACUAUUUUAGAAUAAAUUUUCAAGAUUUUAGGCUGCAUUUUUUGCUAUAAAAAAAAUUCAAAACUGUGACCUUUAUUUGCAGAGGCGGUUUCAGUUUUGGCUUUCUUUUAAAGCUAUUAGGUGGCAUAAAAUUAAGAAUUUAAUUACCAAUUAAAUUUUUCUUGAUAGACCAUUUAUGGAACAAUUCCAUAGUAAUUUUCCAGGAUUUUAGGAAAUGUUGUUGGCUAUCAAUGGUUUUGAUUCCACCAACUCAGUUUUAUGACGGCCUAAUUCUAGGGAUUUAAAUUCUAAAAAUUCUUGGCAAAAAUUUGGAUAAAUUAUGGAACCUUUUCAUGAAAAAAAUCCUCAGCCAAUUGGUGCAACUAGUUGCACAAAUUUAAGCCUUUCAUGGUUGCCAAGCUGAACAGAAGCAUGAUUGUCACUGCUGCAAUCAGCAGUUGUUUCAGCCAUGUUUUGAUAGCUUACCUCCACCAUCAACCACAUGUAAUCACCCAUCUUGGAAAAUUUCCAAUGUGUAUUGAUCACUUAAAUCUCCAACAUUUUAUAAAGCACUUAAACUUUAUUUAAAAGCUAAAAAUCAAACUUUUACAAAAGCUGGGCAGAAUCAGAUUCUCCCUUAAAUAAAGCACCACAAUGUCAUCGAAUUUCCACUUUAAUUGUACAAUUAAUUUGUGCAUCUUAUGCACUAACUAAUCUUCAGAAUGUUGACAUUAAAAUGAGAUUAGUAUGGUGAGAAGUAAGAUUUAAAAAUUCACAACAAAAUUUGCCCAGAAAUCAAAAUAAUUAGAACACAUUGUAAAGUUUAAAACUUACUUCUUUGUUUCCUAUAAAACCCAUACACCUCAUAACACUUUCAAACAAGGUAUCAACAAUUGUUUGACAUCUUAAUGUGUUAAAAUCAAGCCAUGGAUGGCUUUGAUACCAUUGUUAGGUUUUGCUAUGGACGACAUGCUCGAAAUUAUGUAGUAGAGAGAAAAUUAAAAACUUUUUUAAAAAAUAAAAAUAAAAACAUGCCUUUGUGUUAGCAAAAGGGGACAACAUUUGUCCCCUUCCACUACUCGCAAGGAUGGUUGAAUCACACAUGUAACGAUCGCUCCUCGAUCGCUACCGGCGUCCGAGUUUUGCAGGAGAACCCACCAAGUCUCGAACAAGCUUUAUUUGAAACCUUAGUAAUUACUUCAUAUUCAUGCCAUCAAUCGGUGAAAUUACCUUGAACCAUAUAACUCUUGCAAUAAGAUUUGAACAUAAAUCAUAAUAAACCAUCUUAACCUUUAUUCACCAUAAUCAUAAGAAUACAUUAAAGUCUAUAAUAUUCAUCUGCACAUUUACAUUGACACUAUUUACAAUUAACUUAUGCUAUGAUCGACUCGACCUCUAGUAGUGGGGCGACUCAAAAUAAAGAGCUAGAAGAAGCCUUUACCUAUUUGUGGUGGACCAUAAGUGCCAAUGAUUACACACUGGGCCGAUCAUUAUCUGCAAAAGGGAAAAAAGGGGUGAGUCUCACAGACUCAGUGAUCAUCGGUUUCGUGAGCAGGGUAUAGAUAGGAAACAAGCUUAAGGCAGAUCAUUUGAAUGAUAAAAUUGAAAUAAAAGUAACAAUCUUAGAAAAAUCAAAUCACAAAUAGAGUGUUUGUGCCUUGCAAAAAUGAUGCCGUCAAAUCAUUGUGCAAUAUUGCACUUGGCAAAACGAUGUCGAAAACAAGUGUAGCAAAACCAAGUUCAAUAAUAGAAAACACCACUUACUAUCAAAAUAAGAGAAACAGUAUACAAGUAUGCACGCUCCCAAGUUGUGUGGCACGUAAAGAAAUCAAUUUACAAAGCCACAUAAACCAGCUUGUGAUCGUCAAAUAAGCGCUGAAAGCUUUUAUUCAAAUAAAAGGAGCUGCAGAGAAAAUCUUAACUCUCCACCAUGCAAAAGAGUACGUGUCAAAAAACUCACAAGGCUCUCGAGUAGAAAAGUAUAAUAUCAUCACGUGAACCCACUUCCAUGUAAUAACAAUCCAGGAGCACCACUUCCACUAGAUUUCCACAUGCCAUGGCAGUCUCGACGAUGUUGGCCGACAUCAAAGAAUCAAGUGGUCAUAACCGCGAAUAUCACUUGUGGCCUAGCCACAUAUAACAACCCGUGGCCUUGGCACGUAUAUCACAGACCGUGGCCUCGGCCAUGUCUACCAGCCCGUUAGUGACCCAAAGAUUCUCUAGCUAGAGUUGACUUGUGCACAAGGGUCACACUUAACUGAAGUGACAUCCGACCUACUCUUGAUGCUCUCGAUUUGUCAAAAUCGUUUUUAAAACCAAAUCAAGUUUUUCGAGACUUUUUCCUUUAAAUCGUUUGAAAUCAAGGUUUGAUAACCUGUCAAAUUGCAUUUCUCAUUAAUUGGCAUGGUGUAAACACGUGUACAAAGGUCGAAAUAAAACCGGUGCACAAAACUUGUAUUUAAAUCAUUUUAACAAAUGCAUUUAGCUAUGCAGACCACACACAAAAAUACAAGGCAUGAAUUUUGAUGUAAACAUCGUAAAAAGCUUGUUUCCUGGUUUUUAAAACAUUUUACAUAUAUAGAUUACCUAUGGGCAUAUCCAAACCAACUUUCAAAACAACUUGCAUCCACAAAAUACCUAAGAUUCUACUAGCUCAUGCUUUCCAUAAAUUUGCAUUUAAAACAAAUCAUCACAUAUAUAUAUUAUAGAAAUUUUGAAAUCGACACCCUCUACUCACCUUACAAUAGUGGGACACUUCAUCGCUAUUGAUUCGGGUGCGUAUCUAGCUAUUUUUACUUGCCGGUCACUCAUUACCUCGCCCGGCACUCCACCACAGCAAACUUUCCUUUGUGGUGGAUUUGACCUUGCAUGCAACCUCAAUGCUCUUCCAAUAUUUCACUCACCAAGCUGCAAACAAUUGCAUAAUCAUUCUCCACAAUAUUCAACUAAACAUAAGCCUCAGAACAUAGUAUUAAACUUACCACUUUCCUUUCACUUUGAACCCAUUAUGCACCCAAGGGUUUGGUGGCUUUCAUGUCACCAAUUUUCCUCUAAUCAAGCCGAUCUUUACUGCCACAAGACAUUUUUCGUAGUCACCAACUCAUUUUCAAGGAUUACUCAAGGUAAAAAUAAAAAUCCUUACCUUUCCUUGCUUGAAUUACAAAACUGAGCUUAAUACCUCUAUUGACAUUCCAUGGGUUCUCUCUUUUGAAUUUGAAGACUCUUUGAUUGAUGAAACAACACAAAUUUACAAGGUGAGGGAGGAAAUCUCAUAGUUUCUCUUAAUUUUGUGCAAACCGUGCCUUUCCUUUCUUUCUCUCUUUUUCUUUCUUUUUUUCUUUCCUUUCCUUUCUCCUUUCUUCUUUCUUUCUUCCCUUCCUCUUUCCUCUUUGGCUAUGGACGGACUCCUCAAGGUCGAGCCUUGAAAAAUGGUUUUCUUUUCUUGUUUUUGCCUUUACAUGGGCCAAUUGCCCAAUGCCUUCCUUUUUCCUUUAUUUUUCUUUUCUUUCUUCUUUAUUUUCUUUGCAUGGGUGAAUUGCCCAAGGUUGAAUGGUUCUUUUGGCUUUUUUUCUACUUAUUUUAUGUGAAAAAAUCACAUGGCAAAAGCUUGCCACCCUUCCAUCCGCCAUUUGCAUUUUUAUACUUUACUUUUCAUUUUUUUUUUCAUUUUUUUAUUCCUUACACCAUAUUUACUUUAUAUUUUAUUCAAUCAUUCAUUGUCCCAUCCAAACCACAUUCACCCCACUUUCUUCUUCCUUCAUUUGAACACCAUUGCACCAAUCACAUUUCAUGAAAACUAAUUUUAAUCUUAUUCUUUCUUUUACUUCACAUGGUGGGGGUCCCACAUGUCCUCCACUAACUUUUCCUUUUUGCACCAUAGUUUGCAUGUAAUAGUAACUUCCACAUGUACAUCUCAUAUUCCUCAUAAUCUAGCAUUCCUUGGUUAGGAAAUUCCCCUUUUUAACUUCAAAUAUUAAAAUUGCAAAUGAGUCCUCAAACUUUUCCUUAUUUACCAUACGACCCCUCCAACUUUCAUCCUUUACAAUUGGGUCCUUCCAACAUUUCUUAACUCUAAUUUCCUUCUAUUUUCCUCCCUUUACAUGUGUACAAACAAAAUACAAAAUCCGCACUUCAUCACGGUAUUACUAUAAUAUUUAAAUAUAUGCUUACUCACUCCAGCUUUAUUUAAUAAAGACAUGCGCAUCCCACUUACAUCGUUUUUUCUCAAAAUUCAUUCUUACUUCUUUUCCCACACUUAGAUUAACCAUAUACUUCUCUUUUAUGACAAAUUUUGACAACAAAUAAAACAUUAAUAUUUUAAUAUUAUUUUAUCCAAAAAUUAUUAUUUUAUUCUAAAAUUUUCCCCUUGUCUCCUUAAUACCUAAAAUGUCUAACUUUGUCCUGGUUCAGUUCCGAAUCACCUUUUAACUCACUAAUUCAUCCUCGAUAAAUAUAUUAUUAUUAUUUAAUUACUAUUUUAUCACAUGUAAAAUAUUUUAUUCCAAAAUAUUCUUUUUUACCCGUCACCACUCUUUGGCACUUAAAUUUACGUCAACUGACCCUUCGUCUUAUCGAUAAGGUCAUAUUGGUUUCUAUAUAAGGGUACGAGGUGUUACAACACACUUGAAAAAUUGCUUAAAAAUAAUUUUUCUUCUUCACAAAGUAGGUGUGAUGGCACACAAGGAGAUAAACUUUUUUUUUUCUAACAACUCUUUUUCUUCAUUUAUGGAAAAAUAGCUAAAUGUGAUUUAUAUAGUUAGGUUAAAAUUAACUUUAAUUUUGCAAUAAGGACCUCUAAAUUAUAACACAUUAUAGUAUAAGCCCAUGACUUAAUUAAAUUAUUUUAAUUCAGCCCAAUGAAAAUUAAAUUGAAAUAAUUUUCUUUAUAUUAUUGUAAUUUCAGCAUUAUAAUUAUAAUUAUUUAUAUAUUAUGUCCAAAACUUAAUUAAAUGCUUUUUAAUUAAGUUUGUAAAAGUUAAUUACCUAGCAUGUGAUUUAAAUCUAACUUAAAUCAUUACUCUUCCAAUUUAAUUAAAAUGCAAUCAUUGUUUGAGACCCAUUUGGUUUCAACCAUGUUGGUAAUGGAAUUGAUUAAUGACUUAAUUCAUUAAUAUAAAUUUCAAUCAAUUAAUUUAUAAUUAAUUCCAGAUACCAAGAUUGGUAUCUUACAAUGCAUCAUAGCCACCCAAUUAUUAGGAAAGUUAAAGGGUUCUUUGACAAACUUUCAACGUAUAAUCUAUUAAUGUAAUUCAUUCUCUCAUUAUAUAUUUUGGAGAUAAUAAGAGUUUGGUAUAGUGUCUACUCUUAUUGACCUCCAUAUUCGGUGUUGUAGUUAUAAUAUUAGCUUUAUAGAGAAUUAUGAACCCUUUUUCCAUAAUCUCCAAAUCACUUUAGCCAAAGACCUCAAUAAGCUAAUAUUAUUAACCAAGAAAUCCAAGAACUGAUAGGAUAUGUCCUUUAAAACACUUAAGGUGAUGAUUCUUAUCUUGACCACUCAUUUGCCUUCACAUUCAUCAUACUAUACCCAAAAGCAUCCUAUUUAGGCAUUCUUGGUUAGGCAGCCAUAAGGAUGAAAUUAAAGUAUAGCACUCACAUAUAACACAACUUGGUGUUUCAAGUCUAAGGAGUAUUUACACGACUGACACAUGAAAAGUGUUACAUAGACACUUGAGUGUAUUACCAAAUGCAUUUCUCAUGGUGGGUCAUGUUCAGUGAACUUACUCUUCUAGGCAAGUACCUACAUUCUAGCUCCAAUUAUCUCUAUACUUCAAUAUGUGAGAUCAAUUGCUAGCUUUCAAAGUAAGAAGCAUAGAAUGUACCAGUCUCUAAGCAUCAUUGAUGUCCAGUCUCUACGAUACAUUAAUUAGGAAUAUUUUGAGAUUAUGUUUUGAUCCAUAGGGAUCUCAUAAUUCAACCCAUUAUAGUUCCCUUGCAAGAUAUAUUAAUCUCAAGAACUUUAUCUAAUUAGACUUAUAACUCAUCAGAAUUUAUAAAACCUGACCCUAUAAAAACAUGUCAUGACGUACAUGCACUGAGUAGUAUAUUAUUAUGCUAGGAAAAGCACCUAAGAAUAGACGAAACUCGGUAUUGUACCUAAUGGUACACUUGAGUUGAUUUAACCUCGAACUAGUUCAAAUAGGAAUUGUAGGAUGAAAUUUAAUAUUUUAUAGUCAAGAAAUGACUAAAAAAUAAUUAUUCGGAGUUCGAGGGUUCAUUUGGGGUAAAAUUGGAAAUUUGGAUGUUUAGGGGCAAAAUCGUCAUUUUGCCACCUAAGAUAAUAAUUUGAUCAUGGAGUGAAAUUUUUGAUCAAGAUUAACUAUUUGGAGUAUAAUUUAAUGAUAGGAAGUGAAAAAGUUUAAUUCUGGUAAUUUCUGGAGUGUAGGGGCAAAUCGUAAUUUUACCACCCGCGGACAAAAUUUGAGAUUUUGAGAGAAUUUAGAUCAAAUUUGACAAAUUGGAGAAUGGUAUGAGUAUAAGGGAUGAAAAAUAUGUCUAUGGGCAAUUUUUCAGUUUUUGGGGCAAAAAUGUAAUUUUUGACUUUUACGAGGGCAAAAGUGUAAAUUUCAAAAAUUACUCCACCAAGACUUUGGAUAAGUCUGAGAAUUUUAUCUAAGCUAUGGAUAUGUGGGACAAGUGUAUGGUGAAAAUUUGGAAACAAAUGGAUGAAAUUUUAAAAAUGGGCCAAUGGGAAAGUGACACGUGGCAUUUUUUAAUGAAAUAAUAUUAUUUUAAUGAAAAGUCAGCCCAUUUAAACCCAAUUUUAAGUGCUGGCCGGCCAUAAGGGAGAACAAGAGAGGAAAUAGAGAGGAAAGGAAGAAAAAAAGAAAAACCAAAGAGAAACAAGAAAAUUCAAAGGGAAAUUCGCGGUUUUCGACCGUUUACGCGUCUAACGGUAAGAUUUUUCGAUUUUAGCUUGAUUUCUACCUUUCCUAUGCCUUUAUUUCCAUUUAGCAUGCUUGAGGAGAGAGAUCAAAAAGUGAUAUCAAGGGCUGGACGAAAUUCUAGGGGAGAGAAAUUGAAAUUUUUAGGUUUUGAUUUUUAGUUAAAUUGAUAGUUUUAGUUAGUUAAAUGUGUUUAGAAAUUAAAUUGGGCAAGAAAUCAUUAAAUUUUCACAAUACCCACUCUUGGCUGGAUGCUCAAUGCUGUACAAUGAUGAUGAAUUGAUUUUAUUCUAAGGAAAAUGAAGAGAAAAUGAUGAAAAACGAUUAAACGUGAUAGAAAAACAAAGUAGAAAAUUAACCGAGUUAAUGUCCCAUUUUUGGCCGAAUUUUCCAAGGAAGGGAGUGAGCUGAUUUUGUUGUUUUUAGAAGGUUAUUGGCUGAUAUUUAAUGGUUAGAAAUGUUGGAGAGAGAAUGGGAUGAUUUAGAGCUAAAAUGGAGCGCGUUAGCAAUUUAUCGGGCAAAGUGCCAAAAAUAGGUUAAUACCGCGUUUAAGCCGUUUUAGGCUAUUGCAUUUCAUACCAUGCAUUAGUAUAGGAUUUAAGUUAAUUAUAUAGUGAUUUAGCAUCAAUGUGAUGAAUUGUGUAAAUUUUUGUAAUGUGUCUAGGAGGAGAGCCUUCCGGAAAAGGCAAAGAAGUCGUACCCGACGAGUAGUGAUCGGGGCGCUUAGAAAGCUUUUAGUUUGUACAAACGGUGAGUAAACUUAUUAUUAUUGUAAAUUAUCUAGAGUUUAUUUUUAAAUGCCCUUUAUGUAUUUUAUGAAAUGAAAACGAGAUUAAAACGGGAUUUUUGAUGUUUUAGGAAUAAAUGUGACAAAUAAAAAUAUAUUGUAUUGAUUAUGAAAUUGAGUAAUUGGAGGCUGCAAAUUGACUUGAAAAAUAUAUAUUUUCCUAGGAAUGGCUUAUGAGAAAUGAGUAUAUGUGGCUAUAUUUUGUGAGUGCAUUGGGAAAUUUAUGUAAGUUGUUUUUACUAUGCAGGCUGGAUAAAUAAAUAAAAGCCACGUUAUACUGUCGAAAUUUUAUUAAAAUUGGUGGGUUAGUCACUGCAGUGACGGGUUUCCGUGGACUGCCUAUUAGAGGGGCACGGUAAACCCAGUUAUAUAGUUACUCCGGUUGUAGAGGCGAGGAGGGUAACUCCUGGGGUAGUAUUAGAGCUCACUUCACGUCGAACCCCCACGUGAAUGUGUAACUCGGCCAACGCCAAGGAACGGCUGGUUUUAAAAAUAAAAAUGUGUUUCACGUGUGAAUAUUUUAACACCCUUGGCGGACUCGGUUAGAUGCCUCGGCCAAGGUAUCCCCGAGGAUUAGUUUUGGCUUGAGCCUUGUUUUAAUAAAAGACAUAAGCCUUAACAACUGUUUUGGUAAAUUACAAAUAUUUUAUGGUUUAAGAAAUAAAUUGAAAACAUUAUGAAAUGGGUUGAAAUUUGUUGUUUAAACUUGCCUCCAUUUUACUCGCCUUUAGAUAUUUAUGAUAAUGUCUGUUUACUCAUUGGGAUUGCAAAAUCUCACCCAACUCCUUUCCACCCAUUUCAGGUUCAGUAUAGACUGUAGAUAGCUGAUCUCAUCGAGGACUACCAUUGGAUCUGCAUUUUCCAAACCGUAGGUUCACAGUCCUCUUUACUUUUGUUUAUUCGGGGGCCCUCUUGUUAUUGUAAAUUAAAUUAAAUAUUUUGGCUUACUGUAUUUCAGUAUGUAUAAAUUUAUUUAGCUUUUACGCUAUAAAAAUUAUUCACGUAUAACUCUAUAAAUAUUGUUUUAUAAGAAAAUAGAAUAUUUUCCUUAAUAUUUCUUUUAUUUUCUUAUUAUAUUCAAAUAACCGUAAUUUCGUUUUAAAUGAAGAUUUUAGACUUUUAAACUCAUUUUGAAUAUGAAUUAUGUAUUUUGUACUUGUAUAUUACGUUUUAGCCAGUUUUGAAAUUUAAAAAAAAAAAUAACAAAAAUACCCUUGUGUGACGAAAAUUUUAUUUUGAUUGUUUUUUAUAUAAAAUAGUGUAUAUUCUCUAAAAACUCGAUAUUUAACAACGAUUGCUCACAGGAAAGGAAAAAAAAAUUGAUAUGUAAACCUUGCGGGGUUUCGGUUGGCAUUCCGGAUAAUAAGUGUCAAUCGGGACGUCGCGGCGAUUGUCAUGGGCCUGAGGGAGGUUCCGGAUCGUGACAGAAUUAAUGUCUUAUUGAUGAAGAAAAACCUCUAAUCAUUUAAUAUGAUUGAUAUCGUUGCACGAUUGGAACCAAGCCUUGACCAAUCUUAAUUGGCUGUAGGGCUCAUCCCAACAGAACGGUCUUGGCAACAAAAACUAAGAGUCAAGUGGUUACUUAAAGAUGAUAAGAAUACAAAAUUUUUCCAUUUGAUGGCACUUGCUAGAAGGAAAGCCAAAUAUUCAUUGAAAAAAUUGUAGUUCAAGGCGAAAGUGGUUAAUAAUCCUAUAAUUUUAAAAGAGAGCCAAACAAUUUGAAUCUUUUUACAGCCAAAAAACAAUUGUCAAAGUAAAGGAAUUCAAUCGCAACUUCCAAGUUUUAAAGGAGCAAAGUGUGUGUUUUUUGGAAUGACCCUGAAUCUGCUUAGAAGCUUUACUCUAGCAAUGACCAAAUCUAGACAAGUCAAGGAAUAUGGAUGCUGGAAUAAUAGAAUAUGUUUGUGGAAAAUUAAACUGAGAAGAAGUUUGUUUGAUUGGGAGGGUCAUCAUUGGGAUCAUUCAGAUAAAAUCCUAAAGGAAGUUUUCUUGGCUAUGUGUUUCUAGAUAGACUUAUAUGGAAAAGUUCCUCAAGAGGAGACUACUCGGCCAAGUCUUUUUGGGAGCUAGUUCUUGACACUUCUUGUCUCAAAUGUGAUCAUUAAAUGCUAGUAUGGGCAAGACUUGCGCUCUUAAAAUCGAGAUCUUACAAUUGAUAAAGAAGAUAGAGUUAUUGUGAAAGAUGAAUUAGUUAAAAGGGGAUUAUUAAAUAAGAGAUAACCUGUCUACAUCUUGUGCAAAAGCGAGAUUAAAUCGAUUAAUCAUUUAUUUUCACUGGUUUUGAAACUAGGAAGAUUUGGACCAUAUAUUGUAAUAUUUGGUGAAUUUCUUUGGUUACCACGUGCAAUGGAACAUCUUUUUUUCAGCUUGGCACUCUGAUAUACCGAAAAACAAAUAUUACAAAGUACGACGAAUGGUUUUUCUACCAUUACAUGGUUAAUUUCGCUAUUUAGAAAUGAGAUGGUCUUUAAAAGGAAUACAUUUGGUUUGGUGCAGCUGAUUGAUUGAUGUUAUUAAAAUGAGAAUUACUUGGUGGUAUAAAGCUAGAUCCUUGUUUGAUCUAAACUCGAUUACAUUUUUUUAUCUAGAUUUCCAAAUGAUGCCUCCAUUCCUAAAAGUUUUAAGCUUAAGAAAACAAGGGUUUGUGUGGGAUGUCCUUUGUGUGGCUCUCUCAAAAUUAAUGUUGAUGGAUUGUCUAGAGGAAAAUUGGGUGCUGCAAGAGUGGGAAGGUACUGCAUGAUGAGGUAGGAUUUGUAAAGUUGAUGUUUUUAAAUUAGUUGGUACAUUUGAUUCAAAUCUUGCUGAAUUGCUUGUAAUUAAAGAAACUUUUAUUUAUUUUGAGCUAACUCACAUUGUUCAAUAAUUGAAAAUGACUCCUUAAAUACAACAAAUUAAAUUUUAAACCCUCAAAUAAUUCUGUGGAGGUUUUUUUUUUUUAUAAUUGGGGAAAUGGGGAUUCGAAUCCUGCUUUUUAGGCAGGGAGAUAAUGCACCAAUCAAUGAGUCAUACUCGGAUGCAAACAAUUUUGUGGAGGUUGAGAAGGUUUAUUUUACAUAUCAAAACUUUAAAGUUACAAUUGAAAAGAUGAUAAAUAUAUUAUAUCCCUCGAACAGAAAAUAAAUAGACGAUGAUUUUACCAAGUCUGGUGUAUAAAGAACUCAUAAUUUUAUAUUUGAGAUUAGUUAAUCUGGAGUGUCGACACUGUUGACCAGCUUGCUAAAGGGGGAGUGUCGAGACCGAAUGACCUUCUGUGGAUCUACUUUGAAGCUAACCCAACUCAGAAUGUCGAGACGCUAAUGAUCACCGAUGGAGAGUAAGCCCAUUUGGUUUCUUUCUUAUUUUUAUAUCACCUGUUUUUGUUGGACAUUUCUGGUACGGUAGAGCUUGUUGAUUUUGUUGCUCAAUAGGUGAGCUGUAUGUACAAGGGUGAUCAUAUUUUGAUUUUUGUACAGGGUUCCUUCUCACCUCCUUCUUGACAGGACAUUUUCUGCUUCUAUCAUGUGGUGGGUACUUCCGCAGGAUCAUUUUUUUUUUACUGCGGCUUUUGCUUGAUUGUAUAGGGACUUUCCCUGUUGAUCUUGAAAUUUAAUACUACUCUCAACCUUUCGAAAAAAAUUUGGAGUGGUAGUGACAGGAUAAAAAGAGCAAGUAAGUUCUACUUUUUACUGCGUGAGCCUGCUCUGCAAUUUGCUAAAUGCUUUAAUUGAUCUUGAUGCACUUACUCUUACUUCUCAAAAAGAAAUACCCAAUAAAUGAUGGCAUAGCCACCCCUCGGCUUCCAAGUAAAUCCUAUGGACUUUGGGGACCAUGGAAAGAGCGAGGCGAAUUAACAAUUGCAAAUUACACAAUCCAAGAAAAGUACUCAUAAUAAUAGUCUCGUUUCCUUUUCAACUCGUUGUCCAAAAGAAUGCCAAUAGAACAAGAGAUGGGAAACUGGUGGGUUUGGGUUGGAUUAUUUUAAAUUCGGAUUCUUUUAAGAUUGUGUCAUAACUUGUUUGAUUAUUUUAGCCUUGGUUCAAUUCAUUUUGGAUUUUUUUUUCCCAAAUUUGAGCUUGACCUUUUAAUUAACUCAAAGCUGAUUAAAUUUGAAUUUGGAUUUUUUCAAAUGACUUUUCAAAUUCAGAUUCAUUUUGUCACUUCUAAAUAAAAUAUAAUGAAAAUAUCAUGAAAAUGGUCCCGAAAAUAGGCUGCCUCCAAACAAAUUUUAUUGCCGGGUAUUAUUUUUUAUUUUGUCAAACAUCAAACGUGGUACAUUGAAAGGAAAUCGAAGGAUGCAACUUCAAUAAAAAUAAGGAUUAGGUAAGUAAACAUGCACGAAUAGCGGCUGCAUUCAAAAAAUCAUUUUGCCUUGAUGAAUUUAAACAAUAAUUUCCCAUGAUCAUUUUUUUUAAUUUUAUUAUUGGAUAGAAAGUCAUCAUCAGUCAUUUGUCCCCUAGGGAUACCAGCAUCAGCGGAGCUGUAUAUAAAUUGGCUUAUUUACAUGGAAAUGCUUCACAGCUAACUGUUAGUCACAAGAUAGAAUAACUUCCUUCCAUUAUUGUUUAAUUUAGAGCAGAAAUGGGCUCUGAAACUCCUCUAAAGCUUCCAGUCAUUGACUUCACUAAGCCAGACCUAAAACCGGGAACCACUGAGUGGGAUUUGGUGAAAGGGCAAGUCCAGCAAGCCCUUCAAGAGUACGGUUGCUUUGAGGCUUUGUUCAACAGGAUUCCUCUCGAUGUUCGAGAGACAAUAUUUGGAGCCUUGGAAGAGCUUUUUGACCUCCCUUUGCAAACCAAAAUUUGCAAUGUUUCCAAGAAGCCUUAUCAUGGCUAUGUUGGCCAAUAUCCUCAAGCACCAUUAUAUGAGAGCUUGGGCAUUGACGAUGCAAACAUUAUUGAAAAAGUUGAAGCCCAGACUCGUGCCUUGUGGCCAGAAGGAAACAAAAGUUUCAGGUUCAUAAAUUCCCUUCUCCGAACUUUCCAGUAACUUUUCGUCAAACUCUUAAUUUUGGCAUAAAAACUACAGACAAUUUUUCACCUUUCAAAACGAUAACAUCUUUAAUUUGUCAGCUAAAUAAUGCAACUUACAUAUGUUUCUAUGAUAUAGUAUGGUCUAUAUAUACAUAUAUUUAUUCUCUUAUAUUUUUUAUCCAUAAUACUUAUAUAUUAGUCCCCUAAUUAACAUGAUCUUUGUUCGAGAUUCCGUUUGUGGUUUGGAAGGGAAGGUGUUGUCGGUACUACGUAGUUUUUAGCUAUCCAAGUGUCCUAUGUUAUGAGUUGGAUUAAACUUUUGUUUCUGUUUUCAAAUGGUUAUUCUGUUUCAUUUGCAGCAGCAAUUACGAACCCAAUGGCUGAUCUUCAUCUUUGUAACCCUAUAGUUAAUUGAUAAAUUAUCUUUUUUAUGACCGAGCAAUAAAAAAAAAUUAAGUACCUUAACAGCUCUACUUAAUCUUGACAGCAACAUUAUACAAUCCUUCUCAAAGCAAUUAGCAGAGUUAGAUCAAACUAUUAGAAGAAUGAUAUUGGAGAGUUAUGAUCUUGAUAAAUAUAUGGAUGAGCACUUGGACUCGACGAACCACCUUCUUAGGUUAAUGAAAUAUAAAGGGCCCAAAACCACCGAAACAAAGCUUGGACUACAGAGUCACACAGACAAGAACAUAGUGACCAUAUUGUACCAAAAUGAGGUUGAAGGGUUGGAGGUACAGACCAAGGACGGAAAAUGGUUCGAUGUGAAACCCUCCACCUCCAAAGGCUCUUUCAUUGUCAUGAUUGGGGAAUCUCUCCACGUAAGUCUCUUCCCAUUUUCCCUUUUGAUGAUUUAGUUAAGAAAAGUUAACAAAAUUAGCGAAAUUCAUAUUUAUAACAGGUACUAAAUAUAGAAUAAGUCAAGUAGUACUCUCUUUUAUUCAAAUCAGUGGCGGAUCUUGGAUUCUGUAUGAGAGGUGAUAAGUAAUUAUACAAUAUCAUGGAUUGGGUCAAUAAUUCGAUUUAAAAUAAAAAUAUUAAUUAUUUUUUAAAUAAAAUUAAAUUAUAAUAUAAAAUUUCAUUAACAAUUUAAAUAUAAAUUUUCAGAUUCACUAAUAUGAAUAGAUAUAAAGGAGAAAACAAAAUUAACAUUAAAUUUUUACAUUAGGCACUGUAAGCUAUACUCGAUGUGUUUUCAUGCUUUCAAAUUCAUUUGUGACUAAACCCGUGUCAAUGAUCCUGAUAAUUUUUUUUUCAAUGUAAAGGAUAAAUGAAUUAGUAAGAAAAUCAUCUUCCAUCUUUUUACGUAAUCUCAUCUUUAUAAUUUUUUUAACUAAAAAUGCAUGUUCUGUAAUUACUAUAAAAACUAGAAGAGUUAAAAUAACUCGAACUAAUUGAUCUAAGAAAAAAUAUACAAUUGAUUUUUCCAUUUUUUGACAUUAACUGACAGAGCUCUAAGAAAAAUGAAACACUUUACAAAUAUGGAUCUUGUUUAAUAUAAAGUUCAAAAUGCUUCAAUUUAUAUUUGAUAUGAAAUUAAACCAUAUAGGAGAAAAUAUGCAAUUAAUUUUUUUGCAAAAUAAAAAUAAAAGAGAAAAAAAUAAAAAAUAAUUCCAAAACUUGGGACAAGAAGAGAAAAAGAAUAAAAACAAAAUAAUUCCAAAACUUGGACCAAGAUGAGCUAAGGAAAAAAAGAAGAAAAAAAGAAAAAAAAUUUCAAAAUUUGAGAUAAGGAAAAAAAGAAAAAAAAUUUCAAAAUUUGGACUUAGAAGGGAUUGAACACAUUCGAAAAUUUAAAUAAAGUACCUUACCAUUACUUCAAAUCAACUCUUUCAAUUCAUUUAUGGCCGGCAAAAUUAUAUGUUUUGACUUUUUUACAUAUAAAAAUAAAAAAAAUAAAAACUGAUUCAAAUUGAAUAUUCAUUUCUCUUUUUUAGUCUGUUUCAAAUUAUGUUUAUUUUUCACAAUUUUAUUUUUUUAUGUUGCGUAUUAAUUUUUAAUAAUUUUUUUCUUCUUAACAUUAAAAACUAUAAUUUUUAAUUUUUAAAAAAGAAUAUUAAAUGAAAUUAAUUAUCAAAAAGAAAAAAGAUAGAUUUCAAAAUUUAAAUUAAAUUUGAUAUUUGUAAUUAAAGGGAAUUUACUUAUGGGAGUUCAGUCCUUAACAAACACAUAUGGAAUAUAUUUGAGAAGUGAGCCAAAAAUCUGUAUAAAUAAAGUUUGUGUGAUAACGUCGCAGGCAUGGUUAAAUGGCCGACUGCACGCUCCUUAUCAUCGCGUCAUGAUGAGCGGAGACAUGGCAAGGUACUCCAUCGGUCUGUUUUCAAUCCCGAAAGGAGGUUACAUGAUAAAGGCCCCAGACGAGCUAGUGGAUGAAGCACACCCCUUGCUCUUUAAGCCCUUUGAUCACGUUCAAUUCUUGGGGUUCUACUACACCGAGGCUGGUCAAAAAGCUGAAUCUGCCCUUAAAGUUUAUUGUGGUGUCCAGAAUUAAUGGGCUAUAGCAAAAAGGUUUGCAACUGAGAUAUUGUCAAAACCUUGUUCUAUAAAUAAUAUGAGGGAUGGAAUAAGGGUUAAUUUAAGUUUAUUCUCUUUUGUAAUUUAAUGAAUGAUGUGUUGGUUUUGAAAAUUAAGUUUCGAGUAUGAAUAAGAAAUGGAUUGUUAUGAGUGCCACAAUAUCACUAGAGGGAAACAGGGUUUCAGUGACUGAAAGUCUCAGUUCCACUUCUGGAUUCGCAUUUAAUUUUACUAAUUACUAGGGAACCUUGUGCAUUAUUUUUGGAUAACAUAAUACAACAUGUGCAAAUUAUAAAUUAAGUAAAAGCUAGUACAAUUAGAUAAUGUUUUUGGUACAGGAAGGGUUACUAAAGUUAUAAUUAUAUAAGUUAAUAUAUAAACAAGUAAAUAAACAACAAUAGCUAGGCAAGUAAAUAAUUAGUUUUUAGAUAUUAGACAAACAUUGGUACUUUGUUACUUGUUAAUGUAAGAAAUUUGAAUGUUAAUUAAUUUAUUUUCUUAAAAGAGUUAAAGGCCCAAUUUAUUAUUUGGGCUGAAAAGUCCAGUUUAUUAAUUGGAUUUAAAUCUAAACUGUGAAUUAGACUUAAUAGGUCAUUUGGGCCAUGUCUGAGCAUGGUAGUCGUCUUUUCCCCCCUUUCACAUCUGCUCCUCCCAGCAAAGCCUCGCCAAAUUGGCUCCUGGGAGAACCCAUUAUUUCCCACACCUUGCAAUCCCAAGACGACGUUCAAACCACUAGUCUCUUCCAUCAAUCGCCAUUAUCAAGCACUUUCUAUAUAUAUAUACAUAUAUAUACAUAUAUAUAUAUAUAUAUAUAUAUAUGUAUAUACGUAUGUGUAUGUGUAUGUGUAUAUGUGUAUAUGUGUAUAUAUAUAUAUGUACACAUAUACACAUAUACACAUAUACACAUACACAUACACAUACAUAUAUACAUAUAUAUAUAUACAUAAAAACCAUCGGAGGAGGAGGAAAACAUGACUACAGUAUGCUAAAUCUCUUACUAUUAUAUAUAUUUUUAAAUCAUAUUUCAUAAAAUUUGAUCGCAUUCAUACUAAAAAAGCAAUAAACUAUGGAAUGAUUUUAAUUUUAAAUAUUUUUUUGAUUUAUUGAAAGCAAAUAUAAAUUAUUAAAUGAAUAAAUAAGUAUAACUUUGUUAAAAGAGUGACCUCAAAUAUGGAAAUUCAAUCUCAAAUGAACUCAGGAAGCAACUAAAACUGAAGGCUGUAUGUUGAAGAGGGUUCAUCAAAAUACUGAAUGAUGUUGUAUGGGUAUUUCAAGUUUUUAGAGUAAGUAAUAGGGUAGUUGUUGUGUCGUUUUGUGUUAAGUUUAUUAAAUAGCUUUAUAAGCUGUCGUUUAUUCAACAAUGUUUUUAGCUUCCUCUAAAAGCUUUAUAUGAGCAUCAUUCUAAUUAUUUUCGUAUAGGCUAAUGGUCAUCUGCUUGUUCUUUGUUCUUUGUUAUAGCCGUUAAAGCACAGAAAACUGUCUCUGUAAUGAAUAUAAAUACUAAUUUGUAACCGCCAUUAUGUGACGCCUUUUUGAUCAAAUCAAUUCCCAAUUGUUCUUUAGCUGGUACUCUAUUUUUUUCUUCUUUUUCAUCUUUCUCAACCUUUGUUGCUAGAAAUUAUUAAAACUUAGUUUUCUUUUUCAUGGUAUCAAAGCCUUUCAUCUCAAGGGACCUAUAAUACAUUGUUUUUGUAUCAAAGCAUCUUCGAUUUCAUCAUGGCUAUAGCUGGAUUCAAUACAGCUACACCUCCUGUAUUCACUAGUGUUAAUUACCCUCUUUGGGAAGUGAAAAUGAGGUUAUAUCUCAAGGUGUUUUACUUGUGGGAUGUGUUGAAGUCUGGUGAGAUGCUUGUUCAUAGGCAUGUGAAUCCAAACCUUGCUCAAAUUAGGCAACACUCAGAAGAAGUUGCAAAGAGAUACCUGGCUUUGAUCAGCUUGUAGUCAGUUGUGUCGGAGUCAAUCUUUGGGAAGAUUAUGCAUUUGGAGGAUCUUAAGCAAGUGUGGAAUAGUAUCAAAGAAGAAUAUAAAGGCAAUGACAGAACAGAGGUUAUGUAGAUUAUGAAUCUAUCAAGAUAGUUUAAGGUGAUGCAGAUGAAGAAAGAUGAGGGCAUUCAAGAGUAUACAGAUAAGAUGUUAGAUGUGGUAAAUCAGCUCAGGAUGUUGGGACAAGAAUUCACUGAUCAGAGGAUGGUCAACAAGAAUUUGGUGAGUAUGUCAAAAAGUUUGAAUCAAAAGUGACUUCACUUGAAGAUUUGAAGGAUCUAACUAAAAUUUCUAUGAAAGAAUUGAUCUCUACUCUAUUAGCUUUUGAACAGAGAAAAGCUCUUAAGUAUAAAGACUCUGUUGAAAAUGCAUUAAUAGCUAAAACUAAGGGCUUAAGAGUCAAAGCUAAAAACUCGAAGAAGAAUAGUAUCAAAUGCAUUAAGUAUGGUACUGCAAAGCAAGGAAAGAAUCAAGACAAAUAUCCCCUUUGCACUCACUGUCAGAAGACUAAUCAGACUCUAAAGUAACUGCUGGAACAAGCCUAAUAUGAGGUGUCGAGUCUGUCAUCAACUUCGACAUGUGGAAAAGUUGUGCAAAGCCAAGAAACAAGAAGCUGAAGGGAAGGCUGUAGUGGAAGAAAAAGCUGAUGAAUCAGAUGAGGUACUGUUUAUGGGUAAAGCAAAUGAUGAACUUGCUGAAAAGUGCACCUAGUUGAUGUUGGUCCCAAGUAAAUGUUAUAGAGGGGGGGUGAAUAGCACUUUUUGGCUUUUACUAAAAUUGACUUUUAAUUGAUGACAAAUGCAACAUAAAAUAAAGAUUUAAAGAUGAAUGAGCAACUAAAAAUAGAGCAGACAAUCACACCAAAAUUUAGAAUGGUUCAGUCCAAGACCUACAUCCACUACCUUGGUUGUUCAACCAAGGAUUUUCCAAACAAAUCCACUAUGAACGGUGAAAUUUACAAGCUUUCACCAGCUUUUACAAUGAUUUUUACCAGGCUCAGCCAAAACCUUUCACAAUAGUUUUUACAGGGAUCAAUCAAAACCCAACAACUAACUUUUCUAUGCUAAGUUAGAACCUAUGCACUCAAUCAAGCAAUCCAAGCUUGAAUAAAUUCCCUUAGAGUGCCUCGCACACUCUAAGUAUACAAGAUGAAGAGAAAUAAAGGUGUACCUAUAAUCAUUGAAUUGAUCUAACUGGUACAAAGUGAAGUGCAGAUCACAAUUACAAAGAUAAGAGUUGAGUGCAGUAAAUGAGCAGAGAGUAUUGGCUGGUUUUUGAGCUCUUUUUGGACUUGGAAGCCUUCAUUGCAUUUCUAGCCAUUGGAAGCCUAUUAAAUACUUGAAAAAUUAGCUCUGAUAGGUGUUAGGUAGUUUUUGAUCGUUGGAAAUAGUUUGGUGGUAGUUCUGGACGUUAAUCUAUCUACUAGUGCUCAAUUUAAAUUUUCUGAUAGAAUGAUCUUAGUUGACUAACUGCGCUCUUAGUCGACUAAGUCGUUUCUGUUUUUUGAUCCCAGUUUCUGGCAGUGAGCACUUAGUCGACUAACUUUUUUUUUAGUCUAUUAAGUUGUUUCUGUCUUGAAGUCCCAAUAGACUCUUAGUCGACUAACUUACUUCUUGGUCAAUUAAGUUGGUUCUAUCUUGAAGUCUAGAUUUCUGGUAGCAGACUCUUAGUCGACUAACCCAUUUCUUGGUCGACUAAGUCUUUUCAGUUUCUCAAUACUCUUGAGCUUGCCAACUUCUGAUUUGAAUUUUAGUUGACUAACCCUUUAUUAUUCAACUAAGAAUCUUCUGUUUUAUUGAUUAAUUGUGGCUUCUUAUACAUAUAAUUUUUUAUAUGUUCCUUGGAAUAAUUUAUUUAUCAUUGGCAUACAAUUCUUGUCUUGCACACUCAAGUAGAAAUAUUAGACACAAAUGAAUGGGAAUGUUUUAUUAUCAUAAAAAACUAAUAGAGCCAACAGUUGAUUGACAGUGGUUGCUCAAACCACUUGAUAGGUAAUGUUAAUUUUUUCACUGAGCUUGAUGAGAGUUAUAAGGCUCGUGUAAAGAUUGGUAAUGGUCUCUACAUGGAAAUACUCGAAAUAAGUACUAUAGGAGUGAAAACUGUAGCUGGUAUGAAGUUUAUUCAUGAAGUGCAUUAUGUGCCUGAAGCUGAUUAGAACCUAUUUAAUGUAGGUCAAUUAGAUGACAAUGGUUAUGCAUUACUAUUCAAAAAUAGACAAUGCACAAUAUUUGAUCCUACUAGUGUUGAGUUAUUAAUAGUGAGUAUGAGAAACAAGUGUUAUCUUAUGAGUUUGUUAGAAAGUAAACAACUAGCUCUCUAUACUGAGUAUGACUCAUCUAAAUUGUAGUAUAAAUGUGUUGGACAUGUAAAUUAUAAUUCACUAUCGACAAUGGCUUUAAAGGAGCUUGUAUUAGGUCUACCUGACAUUAUCAAAUCGAAAAAGUUAUGUGAUAUUUUUCAGUUUGGAAAACAGAGCAAGAAACCUUUUCCUAAGGAGAGUAAAUGGAGAGCCACAAAGAAGUUAAAGCUGGUUCACACUAACUUGAGUGGUCCUAUGAAAAAUCCUUCAUUGAGUGGAAACAUGUAUUAUAUCUUGUUCAUUGAGGAUUUCUCUCAUGACUACUGGAUUUUCUUUCUGAAGAAUAAAUCAGAAGCUAGAAGGAGUUUUUUUUAGUUCAAAGCAUAGGUUGAGAAGUUUGGUAGCUUAAGCAUCAAAGUACUAAAGAUAGACAAUGGAGUUGAAUACGCUUCAAAUGACUUUGAGAAGCUUUUGGCAACAGUUGGGAUUCACCAUCAGUUAAUAGUAGCUUAUAGUCUACAGCAAAAUGGCAAGGCUAAAAGGAAGAACAGAACAAUUACAGAUAUGGCAAGGUGUUUGUUAUGUUAGUGUAAUUUACCUAUGAAGUUUUGUCUAAGGCAGUUAACACUGCCAUCUACUUUCAAAAUAAAAGCAUCACUAAGGCACUAACACUCAAAACUCCUUUCGAGAUCUGGUAUCAAGAAAAGCCCUCUAUUUCUCAUUUUAAAGUCUUUGGUUGUGUGUGUUACACUCUAAUUCCUGAUCUGAAGAGGUCCAAAUUUGAUGCUAAGGCUUUUAUUGUUGUGCAUAUUACGUAUAGUGACAAGUCCAAAGGAUAUAGGCUGUAUGAUUUAGAAGCAAACAAAGUAGUUAUUAGUAGGGAUGUGGCUUUUUAUGAGAGUCAAUGUUGAAACUUGGAAAAGAAGAUUGUUGAAUCUAUUCUUGGUGGUCAUGAUGCAAACGAUCAUCAACCAUUGCUAGAGAGUGAUGAUUUUGAUAUUGAAGAUGAAAGUAAGGUUAUGAGAGGGACAAAGACACUAGAAGACAUACACAGUAGAUGUAAUCUUGCUAUUUCUAAUCCUACUACUUAUUUUGAAGUUGUAGUUGAUGAGAACUAGAGAAAAGCUAUGAACACUGAAAUUUCUAUAAUAAAGAAAAACAAUACUUGGGUGCUAGCAGAUAGACCUACAAAUCACAACAUAAUAGGAGUCAAAUGGAUAUUUAGAACUAAGCUAAAUCCUGAUGGCUCGAUAAACAAAUACAAAGCAGGUUGGUGGCUAAGGGAUAUGCUCAUAUUUAUGGAGUUGAUUAUUUGGAAACCUUUGCACUAAUUGCCAGACAUGACACUAUUAGAAUGCUUGUUGCAUUGGCUAUUAGAGAAAGCUGGAAGAUAUACCAUUUAGAUGUAAAGUCAGCUUUUUUAAAUGGUUAUCUAUCUGAAGAUAUCUUUGUGGAACAAUUAGAAGGGCAUGAAGAGCUGGGGUCAGAGAACAAGGUUUGUAAGUUAGUGAAGGCAUUGUUAUUUAAAACAGGCACCGAAGGCCUGGUAUGAUAGGGUAGAUGCUUACUUUACUAGUAAGGGCUUUCUGAAAAGCAUAAAUGAGUGUACAUUGUAUGUGAAGAUAUCUGGUAACACUGUAGUGUUAAUUGUUGUAGUAUAUGUUGAUGAUUUGUUAAUCACUAGACUUGACAAUGAUUCAUUGUUUGAGUUUAAAAACUAGAUGAUGAAGGAGUUUGAAAUGACAAACUUGGAGUUAAUGACUUAUUUCUUCGAUAUGGAGGUUCUACAAAUUGGUUAAAAAGUGUGGUUACAUCAGACAAAGUAUGCUAAAGACUUGUUAAAGAAGUUCAACAUAUUUGCUUGCAAGGCAGUAGCUACUCCACUAGCUUUUGGAGAUAAACUCCAUAAGGAAGAUGGUUUUGCAACAGCUGAUGGUUUUAUCUAUAGGAGUCUGAUAGGUUCCUUAUUAUACCUAACAGCAACAAGGCUUGAUUUGAUGUUUGCAAGAUGUCUAUUUUCUAAAUUCAUGCAAGCUCCUACAUUGUUACAUUUUACAACAGCCCAAAGAAUUCUUAGGUAUGUUAAAGGAACUGUUGAUUUUGGUUUGAGGUUUGUGAGGUAGGAUAGUGGGGACUUAGUUGGAUACAGUGACAGUGACUGGGCAGGGUCACUUGAUGAUUCUAAGAGCCUAACUGGGUUUUGUUUUUCUUUUAAUAGUUCAGUUUUCUCAUGGAAUUUGAAGAAACAAAGUGUUGUUGCACAGUCUAUUACAAAAGUUGAGUACAUGGCAACUACAACGAUUGUUAAUCAGUUGAAGUGGCUAAGGAAGAUUCUAGAUGAUUUUGGUUUCAAAUAAGAUAAGGGCAUUGUGAUCUUUGUUGAUAAUCUAUCAGCCAUCGAAAUAGCCAAAAAUCCAAUUCAUCAUGGGCGAACCAAGCAUAUUAAGGUGAAAUAAGUUGGUCCCAAUAAUAUGUGCUAGAGGGGGGUGAAUAGCACAAUUCGGCUCUUUCUAAAAUUGUCUCUAGGUGUAGACAAAUGCAAGAUAAAUGAAAGAAAGAAAAUAAAAAAAAAACAGAGUAAACAAAAUAGCAGAAUUUAGAGUGGUUCGGUCCAAGACCUACAUCCACUACCUUGAUUAUCCAACCAAGGAUUUUCCCAACAAAUCCACUAAGAACCGGUGAAAUUAACAAGCUUUUACCAAGCUUUACAAUGGCUUUUACCAGGCUCAGCCAAAAUUUUUUACACUAGUUUUUCACAGGCUAAACUAAAACCCAACACCUAACUUUUCAAGGCUAAGUUAGAACCUUAACACAUUUAAGCAAACUUAGCUUAAAACAAACACUUAGAGUGACUCCCUCACUCUAAGAAUACAAGAGGAAAAGUAAAAGAAAGUACCUAUGAUCACAAGUUGAUCUAAAUGGUACAAGGUUGAGUGUAGAAAAGAAAUACAAAGGAUGGGCGUUUAAGUGCAGUGAGGUGAAGAGAAAAUUCUCUGGUUUUUAGCUCUUAAUGACUCAAAUCUCUUCAAAACUUCUAAAAACUAGUUUCUAAAUGUUGAAAGACCCUUUUAUACUUGGAAAAACAUCUUUGAUGGUAGUUUGACAGUUUUCUGACCAUUGAAGACAGUUGGGAGUCGGUUCUAGUCGUUACUCUAUCUUUUAGUGCAGAUUUCAAACUUGCAGGCAGAAUGCUCUUAGUCGACUAACCGAUUUCUUGGUCAACUAAGUUUGUUCUGUCUUGAAGUUUAGAUUUUGGCAGUAGCUUCUUAGUCGACUAACCCAUUUCUUGGUCGACUAAGUUGGUUUUAUUUAUUGAUAUUCUUCAGCCUGCCAUUUCUCCUAUUUAAAUUUUAGUCAACCAACACUCUUCAUUAUCUAACCAAAGACUUUCCUCUUAGUUGAUCAAUCAUUUUUCUUCAUUUUCAUGAUUCUUGAUAUAUACAUUGGAAAGGUUUAUUUAUUAUUUCCAUAUGACUUUUUGUCCUGCACACAUAGAUAGAAAUGUUAGACACAAAUGAAAUGGAAAUGUUUUAUUAUCAUCAAAAACUAAUGGAGCCAACAAUCUCCCCUUUUUUAUGAUGACAAAACAUUCCUUGGUUAAAUGUACAAUGUCUUUUAUUCUUUUUAGUUUCAGCAGAAAGUGAGGAUUGCUCCCCCUAAGUGUGUGGUCCCCCUUAAUGUGUGCAUAUUUAGCUUAUUCAUUUCAACAGAUUUUAUUCAUGUCAUAUAGAAGAUGACACCGUUCAUUCAGAGUAUAUAUAUAUGCAGAUCUUUAAAAUAAUUUACAGCAGAUGAAUGUUGACAGUUUCUUAUCAAAAUUUCAGUAGUGUUUGUCAUUAACAUAUUAUUACUAGAUUUUGUCUAUACCAUUCAACAAUCAUCAGAUACACUAUACUUAGCAUCCAUAUGCAUUCAUAAACAUAAUUUAUAGUAAAGAUCAGUAAUCAGUAUACAAAUCUUAACAUCAGUGCAGUGACAAACUUUUAUCAACAGCAAUUAAAAUGUCAUAAAUAGCAAAAUAUCAGCAGCAACAUACUAUAAACAUAUCAGCCAAGCACCAUAAACAUGUAAAAAUAUAAACAACAAGAUUAGAGUUAAGUGUUCAAUUUGCCAUCAUGGCACAAAUAGUAGAAAAAUAAAAAAUAAUCCUAAAUUGCCCCUAGUUCAUUUCAACUUUCUUUCUUCCCUAAGCUCUUGGUUCCUCCACCCUAACAUUUUUUUUUUAAUUUCUUGGUUCUUUCUCCCCCUAAGGUUCUGCUGGUCUUUUCCCCUUUUUGUGUCAUCAUCAAUCUCUAAGCAUCAGUUGAGAAAGAUAAGGGAGAUGACUCAUCAGUGGCAUAUUUGACAUCUAAGGGUUGAGGAGAGGUUGCUAAAGGGAAUUAUUGGGACAGGGGAUCAGGUAAAGGUGAGUCAGAUACUUCUAAUGGUUCUUGAGGCAAAGAAACAGGUGUUGGCUUGGACUUUUCUGCCAGUCUGGUGGAUUUCCUUCUCUUAAGGAAUGCUGUUUUUGUUGCCAUUGUUUUCUUUCCUUUAGUGAGUGUGGUUUUGUUACUGGCUGUGGUGGUGUAGUAACUUUUUUUUUUCCUUUUCCAUAUUCUGCCUUCAUUCUAGGGGCUGGUGUAGAUGCUGUUUGUUGAGCUUUUCCCUUAACUACUUCUUUCUCAGCUUGUUCCUUCUGAACCAUUUGAUGGAACAAUUUCAUGAUUGAAACCUCUUCAGAAUGAAGAGGAGAUGGUUGAGGUUCUAGUUGAGGCUGGGGUUCAAUAGGGGCAUUUUCUUGAUCAGAUCAAGCACUUUAGUACCUUGAUCAAAUUUAUCCUUGUUUUGUAGCUCAAGUGCAGGUGAUUUUCUUGUCUGUUCCACUUUAGGCUCAUGACCUUCAACUUGCACCUAAACUUACUGAGGAGCAGAUCCUUCUGCUUGCAAAGCUGAAUCCUUAUCGCCUUACUGUGCUGGUGCAACACUUGGUGUCUCAAAGGAAUCUGUAGUAACAGGUCCUGAUGGCUUCUCUUUUCCCUUUAGUUGAUUUUCCAAUGCAGUAACUUUCUCUUCAAUUCUCUGCAAUCUAGCUCCUUGAUUAGUGAGCUUUCCAUCUAUCCUCAUCAAUAGAUUAAAGAUCAUUUCACUAAAGAAUUGUGAGGAUGCUACCUCUGACUGAGUUGGGAGUGAAGGUUCUCCACCAGGAUUUACUUUGGGAGUUUUAACAUAUUUUUCUCCUUCAAGUUUGUAUCCCAUCUUAGAUAAGCUUCCAAGGUAGAUUGAUUGAUCUCUACUCUUUACUUGAUCCAUUGCAUAUCUUGAAUUCCAAAUCCCUUUUUUUUAUACAAGUGCAGUAAUGAUAUUCCCAUAUGGCAGAUUAAUUUUUUCCAAUCUACAAGCUCCCUUCAUUCUCUCAAUCAUAAAUCUUCCUAGGUCCCGUGGACUCCCAUUGAAGGCAUGUUCCAUUAGCCAAAGGUCUUGUAGACUAAUAUAACUAAAGCUUCCCUCUCUGCCAUGAACAUUAGUAGCAAUGAAAUAAUGCAAUAUUCGAACUUGUGGACUAGUGAUCAAACCAGCAUUACUUUUAGAAGAAUAUUUCUCUUUCUUUCUAGUAAUCACUUCCCAAAAGGAUGCAGGAUCAUAGUUUUCUAGGAACUCAAACUCACCCUCUUCACACUCAAUGUUUAGCAAACUGCCAAAAUCAGUAGCAGUCAUAGUAAAUUUUUUUUCAUUUAAAAAUACAUUCAGGCCAUCCUCAAGAUAAUCAUUCGGCUCCUCUAAUUCAUUCUUCUCAACUGCUAUACUAGAACAAAAUUAUUUAACCAAACUUGCACUAUAAGCUUGAUUCUUAAAAGUACUGAAAUAUUUCAGUUUCAUCUCCUCAAAAUAGUCUGAUAAAACUACUUUAAAUUCAGGCACUUUAUUAAAACUAUUCCAGUCGAUAAAUUUCCCAUAAGUGAUUGGUGCAUUUUCAAUUUUCAGGAACGUAUGCUCAUGAAUUUUGUUUCAAAAUUUGGAGGACAGAGAUUCACCUUUCUUUGAUGUUUUUCCCUUUUUUUUCUUUUUAUCUGUUUUCUGUCCUUUUUCCUUUUGUGACUUUCCAGAUUUUCCACUCUUUGAUGCAAACUCAAUUUUCUGCUUCUUCUCUAGCAUUUCUGCUUCUGACUGUUCUACUAGUGGCCUUUUUCCCUUCGUCUUUUCAAUGAUUUCCCUACUUAGAGAUAUCUUUGCCAUUUCAAUUCUUAAGAUUUCUAGUUGGGGCUUGAGGGUUUUGGUUUUGUGUGAGUCAGUUUCAGAGGCAAGAAUGUAGAGAGAAUGGGCUUUAGUUUCAGAUGACUGAGUUUUAGGGGAGAGAAAAUGUAGAAAAAGAAGUUUUCAGCUAUAUUAAUUUCCCUUAGAAAAUCACCCGCCUCCCUCUUAAAAAUAGCCUCACUUCAUUUGCUUAAAAAUUUUAAAAUUCCCUCUAAAUUUUGGUUAUUCUCGUAGGCAGUUUUUCUUCUCCUCUUUAUUGCUUGAUACACAUUAUUUUAUUCUUUCUUCAUUUAUUUGACCGAGUCUUAUUAUUUAAGACUAAUAGAGCACUUUUAGUUGACUAAGAUUCACCUUAGUCGACAAAUGCAUUCUGUUUUAUGAGCAUAAGUCAAGAUUUUUCUCACAAUUCUUGCUGACUAAUCAUACCUAAAUUCCUUCUAAUUUCACAGAAUCUAUCUUCAUUUAGGGGUUUGGUAAAAAUAUCUGCUAAUUGAUGCAAAAUAUUCACAAAAUCAAUCUUAAUAUCACUUUUCACUACAUGGUCUCUAACAAAAUGGUGUCUAAUCUCAAUGUGCUUUGUCCUAGAAUGCUGCUCGAGAUUUUUAGAUAUAUUGAUUGCUCUUGUGUUGUCACAGAAGAUUGGUACAUUAUGAACUUUAAUUCCAAAAUCUCUUAGUUGUUGUUUGAUUCACAAAAUCUGAGCACAACUACCUAGAGAAAUAUACUCUGCUUUAGCUGUUGAAAGUGCCCUAGAGUUUUGUUUCUUACUUGACCAGGAUAGUAGCAUACUUCCUAGAAAUUGGCAUGUUCCACUAGUGCUUUUUUUAUUAGUUUUGCUUCCUGCAAAGUCUGCAUCUGAAUAGCCUACAAGAUCAAAUGAUGAUUCUUUAGAAUACCAUAAUCCUAAAGUUUGAGUUUCUAAGAGGAAUCAAAAAAUUCUCUUAACAGCUGUUAGGUGUGAUUUUUUAGGUUGUGACUGAAAUCUAGCACACAAACACACACUAAACUGAAUAUUUGGUCUGCUUGUUGUUAAGUAGAGAAGUGAUUCGAUCAUACCUCUAUAGAGCUUUUGAUUAAUACUUUUUCCUUUCUCAUCAGCAUCGAGUUUAGUGGAUGGACUCAUUGGUGUGGAGAUUGAUUUCAGCUUCAACAUAUUGAACUUUUUGAGCACAUCUUGUGUGUAUCUUUCUUGGUUGAUAAAGAUUCCUUUCUCACCUUGCUUAAUUUGAAGACCAAGAAAGUACUUUAACUUUCCCAUCAUGUUAAUCUCAAAUUCACCUUGCAUUUCUUUAGCAAAGUGCUUGCAUAAAGCCUCAUUAGUUGCACCAAAUACAAUGUUAUCCACAUAUAUUUGCACAACAAUUAAAUCAUUUAAAUAUCUUUUAAUGAACAAUGUAGUAUCAAUGUUGCCUCUAACAUAACCUUUUUCAACUAGAAAUUUUGAAAGCCUGUCAUACCAAGCUCUAGGAGCUUGUUUUAAUCCAUACAAGGCUUUAUAGAGCUUGUAAACAUGGUUCGGUUUUUCAAAAUCUUCAAAACCUGGUGGUUGUUCAACAUAUACUUCCUCUUGAAUGAAUCCAUUUAAAAAUGAACUUUUUACAUCCAUUUGGUACAAUUUGAAAUUCAUGAAGCAUGCAAAAGCUAACAAUAACCUUAUGGCUUCAAUUCUAGCAACCAGUACAAAGGUUUCAUCAUAGUCUAUUCCUUCCUCUUAGUUAUAUCCUUGGGCUACUAACCUAGCUUUAUUUCUAACUACAUUUCCUUACUCCUCUACCUUAUGUCUAAACACCCAUUUUGUCCCAACAAUAAAGUGAUUUAAAGGUCUAGGUACUAGUGACCAUACAUGAUUUCCUUUGAAUUGGUCAAGUGCCUCUUAAAUGACCAUUAUCCAACUUUCCUUAUUUUCAGCUUCCUCAAAGUUUUUAGGUUCAAUUUGAGAUAGGAAAGCUGAAAAUUCACAAGUCUCCCUAGUUGCUCUUCUAGUUUUGACACCUUGAGAAAUGUUACCUAUGAUUUGUUCUUAUGGAUGGUCUCUUACAAAUCUCCAACUUCUUGGAAGAUCACUAUGCUGAUUUUCUGUUCUUUGCAAAUCUUAUAGAGGUGGAGUUUCAUUUUCUCUUCUAGAUGAGCUUUCUUCAUUAUUCUUAUUGUUCUCUAAGCUCAUUUCUUCCAUUUGUUUUUCUUGGAUUUCUACAUCAUCAUUGUCAAGCCCGACCCUACAAUAUGUUUAUUAUGCCAUUCCUACAUAAGAAUACAUGUUUGCUUACUUGGGUACCUCGAAAAUCGUUAAAGAACGGUAUUGUACCAAAUGGUACAAUUAAGUUGAAUUAAGCCUUGAACCAGUCCAAAUAGAGAUUUUAAGAUGAAAUUGAGAAUUUUAAAACCCCAUAAUGACUUAAAAUGGUGAUUCAGAGUUUGAGGAUCGAUUUAGAGUCGAAUUGGAAUUUUCAUGACUUAGGGGCAAAAUGGUCAUUUUGCUACCCGAGGUUAAGAUGUGAGUGUUGGAUGAAAUUUUGACUAAAAUUGAUCAUUUGGAGUAUAAUUUGAGUUUGAGAAGUGAAGAAUUUUAAUUUUGGCAUUUUUUCGAGGAUAAGGGCAAAAUAGUCAUUUUGCCACCCUAGGGGCAAAAUUGUAAUUUUACACCACCCAACAGUUGUCUAGUACAUGAAUUUUUCCCUAUAUUAUCAUGGAUAAUUGAGGAAAUUUAAGUGGUGGAGAGAGAUUGCUUAAUGGGUAAGUAUGACACAUGGACCAAUGAAAUGGUGACACAUGGUAAAUUUUUGUCAAUUUAAUAUUUUCCUUUAUAAAGCCAAUUUGAACUCUUCCACAGUCAUUCUUAUGGCCAGCCAUAGCAAGAACAAAGGAAGAAAAGAAGAACAAAAACCCUAGAGUGAAAAUUCAAGAGAAAAUUGGUGGAUUUCAAGUAAUCAAGCCAUCAAAGGUGAAAUUUAUUAACUCUAGCUUGUGAUCUCUCUUUCCUAUGCAUUAUUUUGCAUUUUCCAUGGUUGAAUCACAAGAUAUCAUGAAGGAUAGUGUGCUGAUCAAACCUAGGAGAGAGAAUUUGAUGAUGAUUUAGAUAGAUUUUUAAGAUAUAUGGAUGUUUUUAGUUGUUUAUGGUGUUAAGUGUGAGAAUUAAGCUUGAAAUUCACAUAUUCCUCAUGAGUUCAUCAUUGGCUGAAUCUUCCUUGUGGAGUGUUGAUGGUGGAUUUGAUUUUAUUUCAAGUGAAUUGGUUAGGAAAUGAUGAAUUAUGGUGAGAAAAUCAAGUAGGAAAAAUCAUAGUGUUGAUGCACUCACCAUGGCCGAAAUUCUCAAGAAGAAAUGUGAGGAUGGUUUUGCUAAAUUUUAUGUUAUUUGACUUGUGUUUGGUGAUUUGAAGUAUUGGGAGAGAAAUGGAAUUAUUGGGAGUUGAAUUGGACGUAUUGGCCAAUUAAUCGGGUGAUAGAUCGAGUUAGGUCAACACCGCAUGUAGACGAUAAUCUGAACAAUUCGCAUUCCAUAUCAUGCAUUCAUAUAGAGUUUAGAUUAGUUUUAUAACAGUUUAGCACCAAUGUGGUAAAUUGCUUGAUUUUGCAUUAUGUCUAGGUGGUGAAUCCUCCGAAAAAGGGUAAAGAAAUUGCACCCGAGGAUCAAUAGUCGGAGUACUCCAAAAUUCAAACACCUGAUACAGUGAGUAACCUUAUCAUCAUCUUGAUUAUUUGAAGUGAAUUUUAAUUCGUUUUUGUGAUUUUAUGGAAAAUGAGUUUAAAUGGUAAAUCUUUCUGUUUUAAAAGCAAAAUGUGAUUAAAUGAAAUGAUUUUAUAAAAUUGUCUUGAAAUUGAAUGAUGGUUUUGGAAAAUGGAGUAAUUGGAGACUAAUUGAUGUGUUGUAAAUUAUGGUUUGAAUUGAAUGGCUUAUAAUAAUGUGGGCAUGAGUGGCUGGAUUUGGUAAAUGUGCUAAAAAUGUAUGAACUGUUGAUUUGCCUUGAGAGGCUGUUAAAUAAAAUAAUUGCCAUGUCAUCUUGUUGAAUUUUAUUGAAUUAGUGGGUUAUAAAUUGGUCGCUGCAGUGGACGGGUUCCGUGGACCAGCCUAUUAGAGGGCACAGUAACCUUAUUAUAUUCUUACCUCAGUAUGAGAGGCACGGAUGGAUAACUCUUGAGGUUAACACUUUAUAGUUCACUUCACGCUAAACCACCACGUGAGGGUGAACUCAGCCAAUGCCAAGGAACGACUAUGCUUUCAAACUAAAAACAUGAUUUAUGUGUACAUGACUUUUUAGCAGCCUUGGCGGACACGGUUGGGAUAGCCCUCGACCAAGGUAUCCCUAAAAACUGAGUAUGAUAAUGAUUUUGGCAUGAGCCAAACUUUUCAGGAAAUCAUAAGCCUCGUUGUUUAUUUAGGUGAAAUGAAUCUAUUUUAUCUUAUUAAAAUGAGUUCGAAAUGCUGUGAAUCAUUUUUAUGCUAAUCUAUCUUAUCUGUCUCCAUUUACUCACCUUUAGAUAUUUUAGAUGAUAUUUGUUUACUCACUUGGAUUAUAUAAUCUCACUACCCUCCUUUCCACCCAUUUCAGGCUCAGGAUAGUCGGUAGAUAGCUCACUUUGUUAAGGGCUACAGUUGGACUUGCAUCCUCAAAAACUGUAGGUUUAUCGCUUUUGAUACUUUUGGUUGUUCGUGGGCCCACGUGUCACUGUAAAAUAAAUCUUAUGCUUUGGUUAUUUGUAUUACAGUAUGUAUGAAUUUAUUUAGCUUUUACGCUACAAAAAUUAUUUACCGGCAACUCUAUAAAUAUUGUUUUAUAAGAAAAUAGAAUAUUUUAUUGAAUAUUUUUAUUAUAUUCAAAUAGUCAUAAUUUCAUUUUAAAUGAAGGUUUAAGAAGUUUAAACUUAUUUUUGAUUAUGAAUUAUGUGUUUUAUACUCGCAUACUACAUUUUUAGCUGGUUUCCAAAUUUUCGAGAAAAAAUGACCAAUAUGCCCUUGUGAGACAGAAAUCAUUUUUUUUUAUUGAUUUAAGUUAGAAAUAGCUUAAAAUCUUUUAAAACAUGAUAUUUGGCAAUGGUUACUCACAGGGGAAAUGAGAAACUGAUAUUAAAGCCUUGUGGGUUUUCGAUUGACAUUUCGGAUAAUGACUGUCGAUCGGGACACCGCGGUGGUUGUCACGAGCUCGAAGGGAGUAUCGGGUCGUGACAAUUAGAGUGGUAUUAGAGCUUUUUGUUUUAAAGAUUAGAGCUGUUGGGUUUAAAGUUGUUUUAAAGCUGUUUUAAAAACUACAGUGUUAGUGUGGGUCAAGUUAAGUUAAGUUAAGUUAAGUUAGGUUUGAUAUAAUAGAAUACGUGCAUCUGCAUAUAGAUUUUGGAGUUGUUUAGACUCGUUCUGUUUCUUCUUAUAAAUCUUAUGGGAGCAUAAGUCAUAGACAGGGAGCUAUAUGAACUCCUGUUCCCAGUAAUCCACUUCCUUGUUAAUGUCAUGCAAAGGUCAUAAGUAGGGCCAUUGUCCGGGUUUAAGAUGCCACCCGUGACACAAGCUAGUGUUAGAGAGAUCUUAAAACCAAUGCUCCCAAUGAAAGAUUAAUGAAAUGAUAUAUCCCUCCGAUUAAGGAUGGAGAAAUUUGGAGUUGGACUAAUAGGCCGUGAUAAUUUAUUCAUUUGGUGGAGUUAUAAUUGAACUCAUGGUUGUCAAUUGGAAAAAGAUUUGGGGACUAUGGAUUGUAUUGGGGUUAAUAUAAAGGAGCGCGUGUGAUAGUGGUAAUAAGGGUUGUACUUUGAUUAGAAUGAAUAGUGAUGGUUGUAAUUCACUUGAAGUGUAUAAAUUAAGCAUUGAGGUAAGAGUAAACCCAUACUUAUGUGCAUGAAGAUAAGAACACUAUGUUAAUUGAGCUUGUUAUGCCCAUAUAAAAGUGGUGUUGGGAUUUUGAAAUAUUUUAUAUGUGAAUAUGUGUUGAAUAGGUACAGCAGCUUAGAGGGAACUGGUGUUGAUUUCAAUUAAGCGAUUGUGAGAUUUCAAGAAUUGAUUGGACCUAUUAUAGUUCAUGGAUAUAAGCACGUGAAUUAACUCGAGAGUGAGUAUCAAUGAUUACUAUAAUUGAUGUGUGGUCAUGAAGUAAGAAGUUAGUAAACAAAUUUGCUCUAAGGAUGAGCUUGAACUUUGCUAUGCAUAGUAGGGGGAGCCAAGGGAUUAAAGGACUAGAUGUGGAAUUGGCAGCUUGAGGUUAAAUGACUUGGAAAUGUCGAAUCUAGUCUAAGUGCCAUAUGAAGUUCUAUAAUUGAGACUGAUAUACGAAUUACUUGAAAGAUCAAUUUAAAAGUUUAUUCAGUUCAAAGUGUGGCCUAUGAUACGAAUGAUCAGUCUUGAAGGUGAUCUCCCCAGAGUAAGGAAUUUAGAAAAUGUUGAUGUUUGGAUAUACUCUAAGAGAGAGAACUUCUGCAUCCUAAGUUUAGGACAACUUUGAUCUUAUGAUCGCAAAGGCAAGGUGUAAUAACUAAGUAAAUUAUUCACUUAAUAAAUGUGAUUGGUUAUUGAUGAAUAAAGUCAAGAUCUUAACAUUUAGUGGUAUACAAUUUGAUAAUUAUGUAUUUAAGAGUUAUUUGGAGACAAUUCCUUCAUCAAAUUUGCACUAAAUGCUAUGGUAAAGGCAUAUCAAUGUUAAUAUGGAAAUGUAUCCAGGAAUGAUCUUAACAUACCACCAAAGGAGAAUUAAACAUGUUGAAAUUAAUGUUCUAAUAGUGUGCAUAUGAUAGAAAGCUAGUUUGUAAGUUGUAGUUUUCAUGAUCAUGAAAUAUAUAAAGAUUAUCAAUCUAUGGACAUACACUUGGAGUUGUAAUUUACAAGUUUAGAGUAUUUAAGAUAUUAUUAAAUGGAAUUAGCAUUAGUUAAGGUACGUAAAUCUUUUAAUUAAUUUCUGUGGAGUAUGCAUGAUAGUAGAAUGGAGGAACAUAGUGCCGUGAUACUAUAUGGUGAAGUUACUAUACAAUAUGGAAAGAGUAUUCUAAAGUGGGAUUUAUUGAUUGUUGACAAGUGUUAUAAGAUGAGAUGAAUUUGAAAAUAUCGACUUUACCUAUUAUAUGUGAUAAGCACAAGAAGAUAUAAAUGGUUAUGGAAAUUGUGACGUAAGCUUGGAGGGAAACCAAACGGUUGAGAAUGAUUAGUGUAGUAACCUUAAAUAUAGAUGAAUAACAUUGAUUAAGUAAACUCCAACAGCCACUGUGUUGCGGUGCUAAGAACACUUCAUGUCUAUGACGCAUGAAUAAAAUGAGACAGAUGUGAAGUUGAACUUACGAGUUGACCUAAAGUCAUUGAACUUGAUUCGAAGUUUUGUUAACUGGAGUUUUAAGGUUUUGGAAGGUAUUGAUAUGAAUGAGUUAAAGCUAAAAUGGUUAAAGGAAUUCCCUUCGGGGGGGGGGGGAGGCAAAAGGUCUAGGGUUCGAAACUUGGUGAGAAGGUCCUGCAGGGCCUGUCAUGCUGCCCUUAGGCACAGGGUUCUGAGUAAGUCAAGUGAUAGGGAUCCAGACAUAACAAUACCUUGGAGUGGGCCUCGAAGGGGAUGCCACAUAAAUGGCUAAGUUACAGGUUAAGUGAUCACAUGUUGUGAGACAUAAGUUUAAGAUAGAGAUCUCCAAGGAAAUACUGAAGAAAAUUUUUGCCAUGGAUCUCGUGAAAGCAAGCACUAAGUUAUAUGGUUAUAAAAAGGAAGUUGUAAGCUGAGAGUGAUAUUAGUAAUAAUAUUGAAAAGUACUUGAGGGGAAUCUAGUUUCAAGUUUUGCAAUUUCAAGUGCAAUUUAUAAAUUGGCUAAGGGAGAAUGAUGUUAUAUUCGUAUGAAAGAGUGGAACAAAGGAUGAUUGAAGUUAACCUUGAUAAUGAAGUCAGAUAAUGACACUUUCCUAAUAUAUUAUGGAAAAUUGGAAUUCGAAAAUGCUUGAGGCAUACAUGAUUCAAAUGGGUCUAAGUCUUAAGUGAUAAAUCAAUAUCGGAAUGCAAGAAGGAUACAAGGUAAUGUAGAGGCAUGAAGGAUAAUCGAGGAAAAAGGAUGACUCUUAGGAAUUGUGGUAUUGCCUAAGAUGCAAUGAUCAAAUUAAGAUAAAUCUUUGAGGCAUCAAUGGGAUUAUAAAGCAUACACGCAUAAUAGAUUAUAAUUCAAUGGAGAUGACAUUAUGAUGCAACGAUAUAUAGUACAGGGAAACUUAAGCAUAUAAUUGGAAAUGAUAAGAAGAGAGUAUAAGUAUGUAAAUGAUGUGGAACUAUGCACAGGCAUGAUGAGAAUUUGUACGAAUUAUGAAGAUUAUUCUAUUGAAUCUUGGUUAUGGAUGGGAAUGAACAAAAAAAAAUUAGUCUGAAGGUAUUUGAAAAUAGAGACCCGUGUACUUAAUGAGGAAAAUGGACAUUUGAAUGUGCGUGUAUACGUGUGUGUGGAGUUAGUUGUCAAGACCCAAAUUCCAGGCCAUGAUCGGCACAAGGGCCUAAUAGAAGUAAUCCAUUAGGCCCAAGCAAGCCUAUCUAUUUAUCCUACUCAUCAUUCCAUCAAAUAUUGCUAAGUCACAUUUUAUAACUUUAAAUCAAAAUAGUGAUAGACAUUCCCAACUCGUACUGGCAUACCAAUUAAGUGUACAUUGCCUACAACAUGUACCUUAAUAAUUUACAUCAAGUUUGUCUAUACAUCUCAAAAAGAAGACUCGAUUUCCAGCGAAGGGACUCGGGCGAAUGUAUAGCUACUAAAUGCCGAGACACCUACCAAAAGAUGGAUAUAAGUCUACAAGGACACCUCAUCCUAGUUACCAGCUGCCUCGUGAUCUGAAAACAUGAAGUUGAAAACGGUGAGUAUAAACCCAGUGAGUGAACAAGGAAGGGAACAAGCAACAAAAAUGGAGAAUUUAAAAUCAUGAUGCACUUGUUUCAAAAUAAUGCAAUUUAGUUCCAUUCAUAUUAAAAACCCAUCAUCAAGUCCUUAAAUGAUUUAUCAUUUGAAAAUCAUGAACCCAUGCAUAACGAACCAUUUGAAGAAUGAAAACUUCAAUAUUACACAAGCAAGUCAAAUACGAUAACGAAUCUUUGCUGCAGCGAGAAUGAAUUUUCGUUUUAGCGACGUUGGGAUUUAGUUAUUAGCCGAACGAGGGUUUCUCAACUAGCCGAAGGUUUCUCACUAAACCUCUUUAUUUUAAACUUAACUCAUUUAGUCCUUAAUGUUGGAAGUCCAUACUCAGAUAUGGUAGCAAAAAAGUGAAAAAUAGAGCAGCAAAUGGACAAGAUAGGAGGCAAAACAGAAAGUUUUUUGCUACAGCAAGAUUGAAUCUCGCUGCAGCGAAAUUGUAACCCAAAAACAGAAGGUUUCUCGCUGCAGUGAAAUUCAGCUGAUGAAACAUAGAGUUUCUCGCUGCAGUGAGAUUCCUUUUCGCUACAGCGAGAAGCUAUAGUGACUAUCUCGCUGCAGCGAGAACCAGUUCUGGUGAAGGCUCUCAAACCCAAGAGUUUCUCGUUGCAGCGAGAAUGAUUCUCCCUACAGCGAGAUACAGAGCAUCAAUGAAAAAUUUGCCUUUCUCCCAAAGAAAAACCACCUUGCUGAAAUGUCCAAACCAACAUGAAAUGCAUGAUAAUUUUCCAAAGUUUAACAUGUCAAGUUUCACAUGCAUUAUAACCAUAUACCAUUACUCAUUAAUUUCCUAUAACACACAUAUUUACAUAUGUAUAUAUGUAUACGUAUACCCAUCAUCAUCAUACACACCAUCCCAUCAUCAUCAUCACCAGCUCAUGGGCACUUCCUACUCGCACAUGGCUGGGUCAUCACUGGGUUAUGCACACCCCUUACUCCACAUAACCGGGUCAUCCUCGGCUUAUGUGCACUCCCUACUUGCACAUAGCCGAGUAAUGUCAUUACACAACAAUUUAUUCAUAUAUAUAUAUCAACACAAUUUGGUAGUGCAUGAAUCAAUAAUAGUCACAUGUCACAACAUAAGCCAUUUCUCAAGAGCUUGUUCCCAAGGCACUCAUUUUUAAGAAAAAUUGUAUAAAAUCAUUCAAACACUUUGUACAAAACAGUCACAUUCCUAAAAUAGUUUUGAUAGGCAGUCCACUCACUGAUUUAUUAUUGAGCCUUUAGUUGACUCUAAUUCCCCUAAUGAUCCAAUUGGAAGGAUGGGACUUCAUUAGAACCUAGGAUCACAUUAGCAUAAGCAAUAGGUCAAUUCACACGUUAUGAACCCUAAAAGCUAUGUCUUAGCUAGCUUUCAAUUGCCACAUUAAAUGGCUAUCUAUGUUCACUAUCUUAAUCACUAAAAAAGUAAUGAACAUACUCAACAAUAAAACAGCUCAUAAUCCCAAUUACUAGCCAUUAUUCACAGCUAAAAAUCAAGCUUAGUUCAUCACUUACCUUAGGGCUCCUUUGUAGUCGAAUUCUCUUCCAAUAGCUUCAAAAUCAAUGGGGUAAUUCUCUCUUUCUCUCUCUAGAACGCCCAACUAGUGAGAGAAGGUAUAGAAAUAAGAUUUAUCAAGGGUUUUGAAGUGAGAGAUUGAAAGUAUAUAAGGGUUCUAGUCAAAAAGGCUCAAAAGUAUGAAAACUAGAGCUAGAGAGAGAAAAUUAUGCAAGCUCCAUAUCAAACUUCCAUGGAGGUUUUAAAGAAAUGUGAAAGGGAAGAAGGAGAAGAAGACAAGCUACUGGAAAUUCAAGAAGUUACUGGAAAUUCAAGAUAUUUUAUAGCCAAACUUAUCCACUCCACUUAAAUUACCAAAUUGUCCCUCCACAAUUUAGCUUAUUCUCUUAUAAUCUUUUAUGCAAUAUUUUUACUCUUUUGACACUGGGAUAAGGUCCAUAAUGGUCUAGACAUGCUCGGGUUCAUGAAAACUUAAAAUUUUAACUUGAGGUGAAAAAUGACCAUUUUGCCCCUAUCGUGAAAAUCGUCAAAAUUUUGGUUUCCUUUCCAUUUUACCCUUAAUUUCACCAAAAACACUAAAAUACAUUGAAAUCUAACCAAAUCAAGCAUCAAAACCUCUCUCUAAGUGUUUAGCCUGCAAGAUACCCAUCAUGAAAUGAUGUGAUUCAACCAUGGAAAAUGCAAAAGAAUGAUUGGGAAAGGUAGAUCACAAGUCAAAAUCAAGAAAUUUUACCUUUGAUUGCUUGAUUACUUGAAAUCCACCAAUUUUCUCUUGAAUUUUCACCCUAGGGUUCUUGUUCUUUCUUUUCUUCCUUUGUUCUUGCUUUGGC